rnacentral:lncRNA from 1 species
ACCUAUCCAAACGUCGGGUACCAUUGCUAGAUGGUCACUUUGAUUAGUACAGGAAUUGGUUCCUGUGCUACCGGCUUAGGUUCGAACCUGCGGGGUCACACACAUUAGAGGUUCCUAUCUGAUCUGAUGGCUGAUGUAGAAUCCUACAUGUUUAAGACUCAGUGAUCGAGAAUCAAGAUUCUCUGAUCAUGAGUUCCACACAUUAUGGGUACCGGGGUCAAGAGUCCCACUGGUUGGGACUUUUCGAUCAGGGUUACAUAUCGAUGAAUCCUGAUACCUGAUUGCCCAUCGGAUUUAGACUCAGUAUUUAUGAGAGGUUUAAUUAGUGAUUUGAUUGCUAAUUAACUCAAUUUGAUUGAGUAAUUAUUUUUGGAUCAAGUCCAAUUGAAUUGGAUUCAGUUGGGUUUGACCCGAUUAGGUUAAGAGUUGACCUAAUCGUCGAGAUGGUUUGGUCCCUGAUUUGAUCAGGGGUUGGGCUUAA